UACAGAGGUGGCAAGCGUUGUUCGGAAUUACUGGGCGUAAAGGGCGCGUAGGCGGUUCCGUAAGUCCCGCGUGAAAUCCCCCGGCUCAACUGGGGAACUGCGCGGGAAACUGUGGGGCUAGAGUUCAGGAGAGGGAAGCGGAAUUCCGGGUGUAGCGGUGAAAUGCGUAGAUAUCGGGAGGAACACCUGCGGUGUAGACGGCUUUCUGGACCAUUGUUGACGCUGAGACGCGAAAGCGUGGGUAGCAAACAGG
rnacentral:rRNA from 1 species